ensembl:lncRNA
AUUUUGUAUUUACGUUAAUGAUAACGCUGUGUCGUUAAUCUGGUUAAGAAACCAGUUCUAAUCUUAAUGAUUAUCCACACAAAACAAAUAUCUAAUCCUCUUUUUUUAUAUAUAUAUUACUCAUCAGGACCAAAGAGACCUGUCACUUCUCCAGGAACAAGUGUGAGAAGAUAUCUUGCAGCGGAUGAUAACUAGGUUUCACUCAGUUUGUGGGAAUGAAACUAUAGACAUGGAUUACUUCCUGGAUGUUGCUCAGCAAGAACUAACAUUAGCUAUUACUGCAUCUAAUCAUGUUGACGUCCCGGGGGAAUUAAUAAGAGGUCUGCAGGAGCUAAUAAACCUUAUUAAUUUCUCUCAGCGUUCAGAAGAAUCUUCAGUGAAUUUAUCUGAGAUUAAACUCUUGCAGAGCUCUGUGGUGUUUCUAGACGAACACUUCACAGAAGACUGAAGGAUAUUUGGUGGGAUUGAUGGUUUCUCCAGGAGGGUACUGUCAAAGUCUGAAUAUGGUUUGUUUUUAAACUUGAAAGGUUAUAAGUCCAACCAUUAAAAGCUGCAUCUCAGGAUCUUUAUUUCUGGGGGGUCACAGUAACGUGUCUUACUCAACAUGAUGCCCCACACAAACAUCUCUAUUCUCAGCUGAAACACCUGAAAUCUAAUGUUGAAAGCUCACUGUCCAUGAGCAGAUUGUUUGCUCAAUCUCAACUUAAAGGAGUGGUUACACUACACUGUUUGUUCUGUUGAAUACACAUUUAGUUGUUGGAGACUGAAAAUGUGAGCUCAAGCAAAUGCACUUAGAAAGUGCAAAAUGUAUGACCAACAGAUCAACCAUGUCAUGCUGUGACCUCGAAACGGAAUUAAAAUAACACUGCUGGUCUGCAGCACCACAGGAAAGUGGAGUAUAUUGUAUGUUUUUACAAUCUGAAUUUCUAAAGAGACUGCAACAAUUAAUAUGACGUCAUACUCCUUGUAUAAGCCUUGUAUAAGUGCAUACAUUCAACAUAAAUACAAACUGUUAAAACAUACGAUCCACUUUCCUGUGACGCUGCUGAUCUGCAGCUUUAAAGUUUGUGUUCUUUCAGUUUAGAGGUCACACCAUGACGUCUCGAUCUUCUAUUAGUCACACAUUUUCAGACUGUUUUUUCAGCUAGUGUGUUUUAGCUAAACCCCAGCCAGACAAUGGUGAAGCGUACUGAUAUUUCAAAAAGAUUUUAUUUUCUUACGCAUUUUCUUACAUCCUUUUCUUCUUGAAACACCGUAAGAGCUACAGGACAGAUAAAUACAAUAAAUUAGCUCUUACGAACCCA